ACGAACGCUGGCGGCGUGCCUAAUACAUGCAAGUCGAACGCUUCUUUUUCCACCGGAGCUUGCUCCACCGGAAAAAGAGGAGUGGCGAACGGGUGAGUAACACGUGGGUAACCUGCCCAUCAGAAGGGGAUAACACUUGGAAACAGGUGCUAAUACCGUAUAACAAUCGAAACCGCAUGGUUUUGAUUUGAAAGGCGCUUUCGGGUGUCGCUGAUGGAUGGACCCGCGGUGCAUUAGCUAGUUGGUGAGGUAACGGCUCACCAAGGCGACGAUGCAUAGCCGACCUGAGAGGGUGAUCGGCCACAUUGGGACUGAGACACGGCCCAAACUCCUACGGGAGGCAGCAGUAGGGAAUCUUCGGCAAUGGACGAAAGUCUGACCGAGCAACGCCGCGUGAGUGAAGAAGGUUUUCGGAUCGUAAAACUCUGUUGUUAGAGAAGAACAAGGAUGAGAGUAACUGUUCAUCCCUUGACGGUAUCUAACCAGAAAGCCACGGCUAACUACGUGCCAGCAGCCGCGGUAAUACGUAGGUGGCAAGCGUUGUCCGGAUUUAUUGGGCGUAAAGCGAGCGCAGGCGGUUUCUUAAGUCUGAUGUGAAAGCCCCCGGCUCAACCGGGGAGGGUCAUUGGAAACUGGGAGACUUGAGUGCAGAAGAGGAGAGUGGAAUUCCAUGUGUAGCGGUGAAAUGCGUAGAUAUAUGGAGGAACACCAGUGGCGAAGGCGGCUCUCUGGUCUGUAACUGACGCUGAGGCUCGAAAGCGUGGGGAGCAAACAGGAUUAGAUACCCUGGUAGUCCACGCCGUAAACGAUGAGUGCUAAGUGUUGGAGGGUUUCCGCCCUUCAGUGCUGCAGCUAACGCAUUAAGCACUCCGCCUGGGGAGUACGACCGCAAGGUUGAAACUCAAAGGAAUUGACGGGGGCCCGCACAAGCGGUGGAGCAUGUGGUUUAAUUCGAUGCAACGCGAAGAACCUUACCAGGGCUUGACAUCCGUUGACCACGCUAGAGAUUGAGCUUCCCCUUCGGGGGCAAAGUGACAGGUGGUGCAUGGUUGUCGUCAGCUCGUGUCGUGAGAUGUUGGGUUAAGUCCCGCAACGAGCGCAACCCUUAUUGUUAGUUGCCAUCAUUUAGUUGGGCACUCUAGCAAGACUGCCGGUGACAAACCGGAGGAAGGUGGGGAUGACGUCAAAUCAUCAUGCCCCUUAUGACCUGGGCUACACACGUGCUACAAUGGGAAGUACAACGAGUCGCAAAGUCGCGAGGCUAAGCUAAUCUCUUAAAGCUUCUCUCAGUUCGGAUUGUAGGCUGCAACUCGCCUACAUGAAGCCGGAAUCGCUAGUAAUCGCGGAUCAGCACGCCGCGGUGAAUACGUUCCCGGGCCUUGUACACACCGCCCGUCACACCACGAGAGUUUGUAACACCCGAAGUCGGUGAGGUAACCUUUUGGAGCCAGCCGCCUAAGGUGGGAUAGAUGAUUGGGGUG
rnacentral:rRNA from 1 species